GCGUGCCGCUGCAGCCCCUCGCCCUCCGGCCCCCCCAGCCGCAGGGGACGAGCUCCACGUGCAGGUGAGGGGCGCCGGGGGGGGGGAAGCGGCGUGGGCUGAGACCGGCCAACUCGCCGCACGUGUGGGGAGGCCCCGUCCGGCUCACGGGGCUCUCGCGUCUCUCGGCAGCGCCCGGCCCGCGGAGGGGGGUCCCGCCGGCGCCGCCAAGGCGGGUGAGUGCACCCCAGAGGGGCCCAGGCGUCCAGGCGACCCCCCACCCCCGCCGUGGGGAGGGGUCCCGGCUGGUUCCCCCCCCCUCCCCCAUAACGGCUCCCUCUCCCCGCAGACGGCGACUCCGUGCCGGAGCUGGCGGCCGCCCUGGCGGGGCUGGGGCUGGGCCAGGCUGCCGUGGGGCCCGCCGGUGCCCUCGGCCUGGCCCGCCGCGUCCCGCUGAGGGGCACCCCGGGGUGCCCCCCCUCCGCGGUGAGUCGCCCGGGGGGCGCGGGACCGGGCAGGGGGCUCCCCCGGCCCCGGCGCCCCGCUGACGUCUCCCCCUCCCCAGGAGCGCCGGGCCUCGGUGCUGGGGGGCCCCACGGGCACCCCCCUGCUGGAGAGCAGCCCCACGGCGCGGCGCCCCACGGGCGCCGAGACCCCGGCGGCAGCCGGCACCGCGGACGCCCGCUUCCGCUCGCCCUUCGGCUCUGCCCGCCGCGUGCCCGUCACCCGGGUGGAGGUGGGUAUCGGGGGGGUCCCACCGGCCCCUCUCGUCCCCGCAGCGCCUGCAGCUCCGCAGCCAGCGGCCGCCCCUCUUCCGCACGCCCUGYGCCCGGCGCCCGCCGGCGGGUGCCCAGCAGACCCCCGGGGCGCGCUGGGGGCUGGCCCUGUCCCCCCAGGCCAGCCCCGACACCAAGCCCUGCGCCGCCGAGCGCGCCGGCCCGGCCCAGGACACGACCGUGGUGCGGCUCUUCGUGGGGGACGAGGGACGGCGGG
rnacentral:lncRNA from 1 species